rnacentral:rRNA from 1 species
UACGGAGGAUCCGAGCGUUAUCCGGAUUUAUUGGGUUUAAAGGGUGCGUAGGCGGCCUGUUAAGUCAGGGGUGAAAGACGGUAGCUCAACUAUCGCAGUGCCUUUGAUACUGAUGGGCUUGAAUCCACUUGAGGUAGGCGGAAUGUGACAAGUAGCGGUGAAAUGCAUAGAUAUGUCACAGAACACCAAUUGCGAAGGCAGCUUACUAAAGUGGUAUUGACGCUGAGGCACGAAAGCGUGGGGAUCAAACAGGAUUAGAAACCCGAGUAGU